GACGAACGCUGGCGGCGUGCUUAACACAUGCAAGUCGAACGGAAAGGCCCUGCUUUUGUGGGGUGCUCGAGUGGCGAACGGGUGAGGAACACGUGAGUAACCUGCCCUUGACUUUGGGAUAACUUCAGGAAACUGGGGCUAAUACCGGACAGGAGCUCCUGCUGCAGUGGGGGGGUGGGAAAGUUUCGGCGGUUGGGGAUGGACUCGCGGCUUAUCAGCUUGUUGGUGGGGUAGGGGCUGACCAAGGCUUUGACGGGUAGCCGGCCUGAGAGGGUGACCGGCCACAUUGGGACUGAGAUACGGCCCAGACUUCUACGGGAGGCAGCAGUGGGGAAUAUUGCACAGCGGGCGGAAGCCUGAUGCAGCAACGCCGCGUGCGGGAUGACGGCCUUCGGGUUGUGAACCGCUUCCGCCUGUGACGAAGCGUGAGUGACGGUAAUGGGUAAAGAAGCACCGGCUAACUACGUG
rnacentral:rRNA from 1 species